rnacentral:misc_RNA from 1 species
CGUCCACGGUCUGCCGUCUUACAACUAGCCAGAGGACUGCUAACUAAAGUAGCAUAGCAGAGCUGGUCUUGAUGGUCAUCCUCUACCUUUAUUUUGUAUGUUCCAGUCGAAUCUGUGACUCCCUCCACACUGUAUCUAAGCUGCGAAGUUGUCCUAUCUUCGCACUCGAUUCUGACUCUCGCACCAGGAAUGUAAGUUGUUUUGUUGGUUUCAAAGCCACAGCGGCAAGUGUCACAGUAGACGCGGCCAUGGAUAUAGAAAGGCCUC